GCUGUGUGGUAAGAAGUUUGCUUCCCAACCAUAUGGUUCCGGGUUCAGUCUCAAUGCGUUGCACCUUUGGCGGGUGUCUUCUGCUGUGCCCUCGGGCCGACCAAAGCCUUGUGAGUG